rnacentral:rRNA from 1 species
AUACGUAGGUGGCAAGCGUUGUCCGGAAUUAUUGGGCGUAAAGCGCGCGCAGGUGGUUCCUUAAGUCUGAUGUGAAAGCCCCCGGCUCAACCGGGGAGGGUCAUUGGAAACUGGGGAACUUGAGUGCAGAAGAGGAUAGUGGAAUUCCAAGUGUAGCGGUGAAAUGCGUAGAGAUUUGGAGGAACACCAGUGGCGAAGGCGACUGUCGGGUCUGUAACUGACACUGAGGCGCGAAAGCGUGGGGAGCAAACAGGAUUAGAUACCCUGGUAGUCCACGCCGUAAACGAUGAGUGCUAAGUGUUGGGGGGUUUCCGCCCCUCAGUGCUGCAGCUAACGCAUUAAGCACUCCGCCUGGGGAGUACGGUCGCAAGACUGAAACUCAAAGGAAUUGACGGGG